rfam:Hypsibius dujardini strain Z151 scaffold0011, whole genome shotgun sequence.
UCCGAAAUAGCUCAGUUGGGAGAGCGUUAGACUGAAGAUCUAAAGGUCCAGUGUUCAAUCCACUGUUUCGGAA